GACGGAAGGUGCAAGCGUUGCUCGGAAUCACUGGGCGUAAAGGGUGCGUAGGCGGCUGUGCAAGUCUGGCGUGAAAGCCCCGGGCUCAACCUGGGAAUGGCGAUGGAUACUGGCGCGCUAGAGUGCGGUAGAGGAGAGUGGAAUUCCCGGUGUAGCAGUGAAAUGCGUAGAGAUCGGGAGGAACAUCAGUUGCGAAGGCGGCUCUCUGGACCAGCACUGACACUGAGGCACGAAAGCGUGGGGAGCAAACAGG
rnacentral:rRNA from 1 species